AACGCACAUUGCGCCCCUCGGUAUUCCGGGGGGCAUGCCUGUUCGAGCGUCAUUACAACCAUCAAGCACAGCUUGGAAAAUGGGCGUCCCCCGCGCUCCCGCGCCGGGGUGCCCCAAAACCGUCGGCAGAGUCACGCGGACCCGCCGGGCGUAGCAGAAAAGGAAGGCGUCAGCCGACCCCUCACGUCCAAUGCGACCGCGCCUCGCGCCGUAAAACCAAUGGCCCGCAAGGGCCGAACACCAAGGUUGACCUCGGAUCAGGUAGGGAUACCCGCUGAACUUAA
rnacentral:misc_RNA from 1 species